GAUGAACGCUGGCGGCGUGCCUAAUACAUGCAAGUCGAGCGAACAGACGAGGAGCUUGCUCCUCUGACGUUAGCGGCGGACGGGUGAGUAACACGUGGAUAACCUACCUAUAAGACUGGGAUAACUUCGGGAAACCGGAGCUAAUACCGGAUAAUAUAUUGAACCGCAUGGUUCAAUAGUGAAAGACGGUUUUGCUGUCACUUUAGAUGGAUCCGCGCCGCAUUAGCUAGUUGGUAAAGUAACGGCAUACCAAGGCGACGGUGCAUAGCCGACCUGAGAGGGUGAUCGGCCACACUGGAACUGAGGCACGGUCCAGACGCGUACGGGAGGCAGCGGUAGGAAAUCUUCCGCAAUGGGCGAAAGCGUGACGGAGCAACGCCGCGUUAGUGAUGAAGAUCUUCGGAUCGUAAACCGCUUUCGCCUGUGACGAAGCGUGAGUGACGGUAAUGAGUAAAGAAGCACCGGCUAACUACGUG
rnacentral:rRNA from 1 species